UUCUUAUUGGAUGAUGACUGCCACAUGUCCUUUUAUUGGAUGUCAAUUCCAUGAAAGAUAAAAUGCAUUGUUAUUCUCAUCGACCAAUUAGAACAUGACACGUGACAGUUAUCAUCG
rnacentral:pre_miRNA from 1 species